UUUUUUGCUAUCUGCGGUGAGUUUUGGAAGUUGGGUCCUCCUCUGACCUUCACAGUUUCCUGUAUAAUACUUUGGCUUAAAACCAACAAGGAAUGAGCUGACGAUGGUUAGAUUGGAGGUUUGGUUGGAAACUCAGAAACACUUUAGAUCAAUUUGUAUUAAUGGCCUUAGACCCACCCAUGCAACCUUGGGUGCAACGGGACCUUGGCUUUCCUACAGCUCUGCUGAUUUCACCAGCCAGCAUGGAAAGGAAGCCUGCUUCUGCAUCUCACUAGACACUCACUGCCUUCAGCUCUCACCACACGUCCUGUGUCAACCUCUGUUAUAUUUUUCGUUAUCCAUCUAGUAAUGAAAAGCUAUAGGUUCUAAUAGCUAUACAACCCAUUUAAAGGUGUUCUAAUUUCUCUUGUAUGUCAUAUGUGUGUAUAUAUGUAUAUAUAUAUGUGCAUUAGCAAGUGUGUGUGUGUGUGUGUGUGUGUAUAGAGAGGUGAUAGAUGUUCUCUUUAAAAUUGCCUGAGGAACUGUCUAGCUUUAUAGAGAAACAGUAGUACAUUCAUGAAAACUUGGAGAGCUCUGGAAUAUAAGAGCAUGAAUAACAGUGACAUCUUCUAGUGUUUUUCAAAUGCCAAUCAAAGGGAACAUGCUCAAAAGAUAGUUCAAAUGUAGCAUAAUCUUAUGUGUAUAAAUUGUUGAGGAAAAAUGGAGUUUAACUAUUAGAGUCUGAGUGCAUGCAUGCAUAUUUUGUAAAGGUGCCCUAAGCCACUUGAAUCUGAUAUUAACUACAUUUUUUUGCACAAGUGGAGGACAUUUACGAGAUCAGUGCUAUCAAAACAGAAUGUGUGUGUAACAUCUGAGACAAAAAACAUAUUGCAUAAAAUAAUUCUACCAGGAUUAUAAUAUGAGGGUAUUUCAAAAAAAAAUCAUGGAAGGUAAUUUAAAAUAAGUGAAUUUUGGUGCAACAGAAUUUGAAAUCCAUGAAUAAUUUAUUCAAAAUGCAUGUUUCGUGAUUUUGAAGGCCCUGAUAUGCUUGGUUGUCAAAUUUUUGCACCAACUUAAAUUUUCAUGAGAAUUUUUGAAAUAUACUAGGCUAACAAAUUGUCAAACUCAUGCUAAUAAUUUUCAUGGAAAAGGGAAACGUAGGGAAAUUUACAAUAGAUCAUGUGAAAACUUGCUGGUAAUGCAAUCAGAAUAAUUAAGAUGAGAAAAAAAGGCAAGCAAGCAAUUAAACAUGCGUUAGCAUAAAUAUAAACAGUGAAUUUCAUUAAAAUCAAUAACUACUGAAGCCUUUGAAGGGUGACCUCUUUCUCCCUAUUUUUGUAUUGAUGCAAAAUAAAUGUGUUCAAAUAAACUAUGAAACAAUAUCAGUGCUACAGUGCCUAUGGAAAAGGGUUCAGUACCUCCUCUUUGCCAGAAAUUGAAGAAUUGGUACACGUGAUUUCCCAAGAAUUCUAAUUGGUAGAAUGUGCUGGAAAGUGGGCAAUUGUGACAUUCUGACUCACCCAAGUAUUUUAAAGACAACUCUUUAAAAACUACCAUUUAAAGAUAUGGAAACACUCCUGCACUUUUCUUAAGAAAUCUAUAUUUGAGACAUUCCUUGGAUUGAAUCCAUGUUUUCCAUAUUUAUUUUAUUUUUUUCUGGCAAGAACUGCUUUAGCAAGUGUAGCAACACAGCUCAUCCGACUCUAAAUCACUCAUCCCUGCCCCAGCAUCUCCUCCACUUGGGAACAUGAGUAAGAUUCAUUUCUGUCAUGAAAUUUAGCGUUGUCUGUCCAAUAAUUGGGAUAUUUCUUACCGCAACUGGGAAGCAAUUCACAACUUUCAACUCACUUUUCUCCUUCCGGUUUAUGAGAUCUACUUCAUUUACGUCACUAAUUCUCUGUCAAAAUUACUUACACCGCUGUAGGGCUAAGAAGGGAAUGUUACUUGAACUUGCUCAGUAAAUUAUGGAGUUUUCAUGUGAUUAUAAAUCCGUUUGUGGGCACAGGCAUUAAAGAUAAUUGCUAUUAUCCAUAAACUUUCAUCAGUUUUGUGCAAAGGAAAAAUUGGCCUUUGUCAAUUUUUUUUGGAUGUAACUUGUCUGUAAGACAAAAAUCACUGUUUCCCUACUUUUCAGCAUUCAUUUGGACAAUAGUGGGACUUUUUUGAAGACAGCAAGUUAGCUGUUCAACAAUUGACUGCCUGAUUAAUAGCGCAUGCAAGGCCAGUAAGCAAAUGAUGAUUCAUCAGUUAAGAUUCUUCAAUAUGUACAAAUAUUGUGACACGGAAUUUUUUUAAUCAGUUCUGUAGCUGUUGUAUAAAAUUACAUAUUUUAAUAUUUUAAGUUACCAUAUCUAUUAUACAAAGUUUAUCUCCAUAACAAUUCCAGAGGACAUCAGUAAAACAUGUAUUAUAAGGGAAAAACCGAAAUCAACUUAGUGGUGUUUUUUACAUUUUUAUUUUAAAUUUUGAAAUUUAUGGUACAAUUCUGUAGUCUGAGAUUCCCACCCCCAAACUCC